CGCGGGGUGGAGCAGCCUGGUAGCNNUAGCUCGUUGGGCUCAUAACCCAAAGGUCGUCGGUUCAAAUCCGGCCCCCGCAACCA
rnacentral:tRNA from 1 species